rnacentral:rRNA from 1 species
GACGAACGCUGGCGGUGUGCUUAACACAUGCAAGUCGAACGGUAAGGCCCUUUCGGGGGUACACGGGUGGCGAACGGGGGCGUAACACGUGAGUAACCUGCCCUCAUCUCUGGGAUAACAGUCGGAAACGGUUGCUAAUACUGGAUAUGAGCCUGCAAGGCAUCUUGAUGGUUGGAAAGAUUAUUUGGUUGGGGAUGGACUCGCGGCCUAUCAGCUUGUUGGUGAGGUAGUGGCUCACCAAAGCUUCGACGGGUAGCCGGCCUGAGAGGGCGACCGGCCACAUUGGGACUGAGAUACGGCCCAAACUCCUACGGGAGGCAGCAGUGGGGAAUAUUGCACGAUGGACGGCAGUCUGAUGCAGCAACGCCGCGUGCGGGAUGACGGCCUUCGGGUUGUAAACCGCUUUCAAUUGUGACGAAGCUUUUUGUGACGGUAGCAGUAGAAGAAGCACCGGCUAACUACGUG